AAAAGCUUGAUGUUGCUGUUCUUCAAUACCAAAAUCAGAAGCUCAUACAGAAGUUAGAGGUUCAGAAGGUAGAGUACAAAUCUCUUCAGAAUAAAUAUGCUCAGUUAAAGGAGAAACAAGAACCAUAUGAUAUGACAGUGGCUGUAGUUAAAAACUGUUGGGAUGAGCUUGUCAAUGGAUUGGAAACAACUUCUGUCCGUAUGAGGAGGUGAAGG
rnacentral:misc_RNA from 1 species